GGGGUUUAAGUAAGGUAACGGCAAGGGUUGUGUGAUGUGGAUCAACUAGCAAGGUUGGGAAGAAGGAAGUUGGAUGUUUGUUUGGGGUUUUGAUUUGAGACAAGAGCUCUGAUUAGAGGACGUACAACACGAUCUACAUUGAAGGCGGGUACCUCUUGACUUAUCUUUUAUGAUAUUGUCAUUGGAUAUGCAUAGUAUUUUAUAACUACAAGCAAUGAAC